AAAUUAAAAAAAAAAAAACUGACUGAAUAGCACUGGUCUUUGUUCAAACAUCAAUUGAAUAAUUACCACAAAAACCAGAAAAUGAAUAAUUGGCUAAAAGCAAUUUGGGGGAGAGAGGACAGGCACAGUUCCCCUCACCUACGAUGACAGCCAGGUCCACGAGUGACCUGAGAUAGGGUCCCAGGGUCGAUGUGAGACAGAGAGAGGAAGGUGAGACGGGUCCCCAGGCCAGUGGGAAGGUGGUGGGAGGUCCGUGGGCACCCAACUCGCGGGUGAGGCCCUGAGGAGCAGCCGGAGCGGCAGUCCAGGGACCCAGCUCCACGCCUCCUCCCACGGCGUCUGCCCCCAGGAACCACACGACGCGGGGGCACCACGCCUGGCGUCCAGCUCCUGAGGGAAGUUAACAUCCUCCCGGAACAGGCCACUCCUUUCCAGAAAGACUUGUUGCUAAGUGACGGUCCUCUUUGUAAAACAGAAACGCUACGGUAAGAUGUCCUACACCAGCGUGUUCACGCCUCUCAGCUGGACACCGAGGGGCGGAGCGCACACAAGGACCCGACUCCUGAGACAAAGACAGAGGGACCAGAGCAGACAGGGUGGCCCCGCUGCCGCCCAGCCACUCACGGUGGUGCAGUGCGGCAGUGCAGUCCCCCAAAAGAUACAGCUCGAAAACGUAGGAUGAAAUUGUUCAUUUAUUUAUGAAAAAGUACAUGUAUUAACCGCAUUUUAAAGUGAGGUUUAAAAGGUCAGGAAAGUGCUGUCAGCUCUAAGUGACUAAAGCCAUUGUGAGCAGAUGCCAGUAGUUGUGCAAACCGAUAAUGAAAGAGGUUAGAACAGUACUGUUAUUCUCUUACAGAUCUCCGGGUCAGGGAGGCAGCUUACCUGCUCUGAAGCCGACCCCUUUCCUGUUCGGAAACAACGAAACGCGGCAGGAAGAGCAGAGACCACGCUCAGCACACGGGGAAACCGCGGCUCACACAGCCCAGCCCCGCUGACUUGUGAAGACGGCAAAUCGGCUUUGGUUACCUGCCGAUCCUGACAGGCUUUCCCUUAUUUCCUUACACUAGAAAGGAGGUCUCCGUCUCCACCCUUCCCUGCCGCAGCCCGACUCACCCUCUGGACUUGGGAGACUCGCGCCGCUCCAGGAGCCGCUGCUGGUCGUCCGUAUUAAACAGAGGAGUCACUUCUUCCCACCCUCGGAAACUUGCUCCCUGAACCCAACAAAAGGUUAAGAGAAACGUCAGAUUCGACACUGUGAAUCCAUAGAUCUCAGUUUUCUACUCCAGUGACUGCAGAGCUAAAAUGCAGAAUAGCUGGCAGAGCCCCGGGUCCCCUGCUAAGUCUGCCCACACUCUGCUCCUGUGACCGCAGUGACCGCAGUGCUGCACGGUGCGGUCACAGCAGCUUAUCGAUGCUGCCGAGUGAUCCAGUUUUAGCAGAAGACUAGUCGUAAUCAUAUUUUACCUAAAAUAGGUUGUGAUAACACAAUUAGAUAAAGCUGCCCAUAAAAGAACAAGGUGCCCUUAAGCUAUGGGACUGACCCUAGAGAGGUUAUUCUUAUCAGAGGUCACGGGGGGGGGUCCCCCAAAUCCUUCCCCGAAUCUGCCAUCUCUGCCCUUUCAGCGUUGUCCAGUCCACCUGCCACCUGCAAGCCCUAGCAGGGGGCCCUGGGAUUCCAUUUCUGACAUCAUCAUGAAAGGAGAAUUAUUGGGAUUUAGACCACUACCCAGUGUUUCCAUUGAAGUUACUGGGAAUAAGAUGUGAGAAACAGUCUCUAGUUAAUGAGCUUCAAACAGAUGUCCCUGGGGAGG